CGGAGGAUCCAAGCGUUAUCCGGAAUCAUUGGGUUUAAAGGGUCCGUAGGCGGUUUAGUAAGUCAGUGGUGAAAGCCCAUCGCUCAACGGUGGAACGGCCAUUGAUACUGCUAAACUUGAAUUAUUAGGAAGUAACUAGAAUAUGUAGUGUAGCGGUGAAAUGCUUAGAGAUUACAUGGAAUACCAAUUGCGAAGGCAGGUUACUACUAAUGGAUUGACGCUGAUGGACGAAAGCGUGGGUAGCGAACAGGAUUAGAUACCCUGGUAGUCCACGCCGUAAACGAUGGAUACUAGCUGUUGGGGGCAACUUACUAGUGGCUAAGCGAAAGUAGAUAAGUAAUCCCACCCUGGGGAGGUACGUUCGCAAGAAU
rnacentral:rRNA from 1 species